UACGUAGGGCGCAAGCGUUGUCCGGAAUUAUUGGGCGUAAAGAGCUCGUAGGCGGACUGUCACGUCUGCUGUGAAAAGCUAGGGCUUAACCCUGGACUUGCAGUGGAUACGGGCAGACUAGAGGUAGGUAGGGGAGAAUGGAAUUCCCGGUGUAGCGGUGAAAUGCGCAGAUAUCGGGAGGAACACCGGUGGCGAAGGCGGUUCUCUGGGCCUUACCUGACGCUGAGGAGCGAAAGCGUGGGGAGCGAACAGG
rnacentral:rRNA from 1 species